GCAGACACAUUCCAGCCAAUCAGCAGCAGACCCUCCCUCCCAGACCCUCCCACCUCCUGGACAGCAUCCAUUUUACAUUCAUUGUGAAGCUGCAUUCUUAGUGAGCUGUCCAGGAGGUGGGAGGGUCUGGGAGGGAGGGUCUGUUGCUGAUUGGCUGGAAUGUGUCUG